GAUUGUGGAAGUGUAGCGGUUGUCACUUCAGAUUCUGAUUCUUGCGGAUUUCUGGCGACCCCAGUUCGAUUCCGGGCACGACCU